UACCUGCAGCUCAAGUGGUGGCCGCUAUUAUUGGGCCUAAAACGUCCGUAGCCGGCUUAUUAAAUGCCUGGGUAAAUCGUGUAGCUCAACUAUACGAAUUCCGGGUAGACUGGUAAGCUCGAGACCGGGAGAAGUUAGAGGUACUCCUGGGGUAGAGGUGAAAUUCUGUAAUCCUAGGGGGACCACCAGUGGCGAAGGCGUCUGACUAGAACGGGUCUGACGGUGAGGGACGAAGCCCUGGGGCGCAAACCGGAUUAGAUACCCGGGUAGUCCAGGGUGUAAACGCUGCUUGCUUGAUGUUGGUUGGGCUCCGAGCCCAAUCAGUGUCGGAGAGAAGUUGUUAAGCAAGCUGCCUGGGAAGUACGGUCGCGAGACUGAAACUUAAAGGAAUUGGCGGGGGAGCACAGCAACGGGUGGAGCGUGCGGUUU
rnacentral:rRNA from 1 species